rnacentral:rRNA from 1 species
GACGAACCGUGCAAACGUUAUUCGGAAUCACUGGGCUUAAAGGGCGCGUAGGCGGGCCGCCAGGUCCGGGGUGAAAGCCUCCAGCUCAACUGGAGAAGUGCCUUGGAUACCGGCGGCCUCGAGGGAGGUAGGGGCGUGCGGAACUUCGGGUGGAGCGGUGAAAUGCGUAGAUAUUAGGAAGAACACCGGUGGCGAAGGCGGCCCACUGGCUCGAUACUGACGCUGAGGUGCGAAAGCGUGGGGAGCAAACAGG